CCGCGUGCAGGAUGAAUGUCUUCGGAUUGUAAACUGCUUUUAUAUGUGACGAUAAUGACGGUAGCAUAUGAAUAAGGAUCGGCUAACUCCGUGCCAGCAGCCGCGGUCAUACGGAGGAUCCAAGCGUUAUCCGGAAUUACUGGGCGUAAAGAGUUGCGUAGGUGGCAUGGUAAGUUGGUAGUGAAAGCGUUCGGCUCAACCGAAUAAACAUUACCAAAACUGCUAAGCUAGAGGAUGAGAGAGGUUAUUGGAAUUCCCUGUGUAGGAGUGAAAUCCGUAGAUAUAGGGAGGAACACCGAUGGCGUAGGCAGAUAACUGGCUCAUUCCUGACACUAAGGCACGAAAGCGUGGGUAGCAAACGGGAUUAGAUACCCCGGUAGUCCACGCCGUAAACUAUGGAUGCUAGCUGUUAGAGGUAUCGACCCCUCUAGUAGCGAAGCUAACGCGUUAAGCAUCCCGCCUGUGGAGUACGGUCGCAAGACUAAAACAUAAAGGAAUUGACGGGGACCCGCACAAGCGGUGGAGCGUGUUGUUUAAUUCGAUGGUAAGCGAAGAACCUUACCCAGGCUUGACAUCCUUGGAAUUUUGCCGAAAGGCGAGAGUGCUUUAUUGAGCCAAGUGACAGGUGAUGCAUGGCCGUCGUCAGCUCGUGUCGUGAGAUGUUUGGUUAAGUCCAUCAACGAGCGCAACCCUUGUGAGUAGUUGAAUUUUUCUACUCAGAC
rnacentral:rRNA from 1 species